AUUGAACGCUGGCGGCAGGCUUAACACAUGCAAGUCGAGCGGAGAGAUGGUGCUUGCACUAUCACUUAGCGGCGGACGGGUGAGUAAUGCUUAGGAAUCUGCCUAUUAGUGGGGGACAACAUCUCGAAAGGGAUGCUAAUACCGCAUACGUCCUACGUGAGAAAGCAGGGGAUCACUUGUGACCUUGCGCUAAUAUAUUAGCCUAAGUCGGAUUAGCUAGUUGGUGGGGUAAAGGCCUACCAAGGCGACGAUCUGUAGCGGGUCUGAGAGGAUGAUCCGCCACACUGGGACUGAGACACGGCCCAGACUCCUACGGGAGGCAGCAGUGGGGAAUAUUGGACAAUGGGGGGAACCCUGAUCCAGCCAUGCCGCGUGUGUGAAGAAGGCCUUAUGGUUGUAAAGCACUUUAAGCGAGGAGGAGGCUCUUUUGGUUAAUACCCAAGAUGAGUGGACGUUACUCGCAGAAUAAGCACCGGCUAACUCUGUGCCAGCCGCCGCGGUAA
rnacentral:rRNA from 1 species